rnacentral:rRNA from 1 species
AUUGAACGCUGGCGGCGUGCUUUACACAUGCAAGUCGAGCGAUGAAGUUUCUUCGGAAAUGGAUUAGCGGCGAACGGGUGAGGAACACGUGAAGAAUCUGCCCUCCACUUUGGGAUAACACCGGGAAACCGGUGCUAAUACCGAAUAUUGAAACAUAAGUGGCAUCACUGAGUUUUGAAAGAAUUUCGGUGGAGGAUGACUUCGCGGCCUAUCAGCUAGUUGGUGAGGUAAUGGCUCACCAAGGCAACGACGGGUAGCCGGCCUGAGAGGGCGAACGGCCACACUGGAACUGAGACACGGCCCAGACUCCUACGGGAGGCAGCAGUGGGGAAUAUUGGGCAAUGGAGGAAACUCUGACCCAGCGACGCCGCGUGCGGGAUGAAGGCCUUCGGGUUGUAAACCGCUUUCAGUAGGGAAGGAGCGAAAGUGACGGUACCUACAAAAGAAGCACCGGCUAACUAUGUGCCAGCCGCCGCCGUAA